UACGUAGGGUGCAAGCGUUUAAUCGGAAUUACUGGGCGUAAAGCGUGCGCAGGCGGUGAUGUAAGACAGGUGUGAAAUCCCCGGGCUUAACCUAGGAACUGCAUUUGUGACUGCAUCGCUGGAGUGCGGCAGAGGGGGAUGGAAUUCCGCGUGUAGCAGUGAAAUGCGUAGAUAUGCGGAGGAACACCGAUGGCGAAGGCAAUCCCCUGGGCCUGCACUGACGCUCAUGCACGAAAGCGUGGGGAGCAAACAGG
rnacentral:rRNA from 1 species